UAUGAUGUGUCGGAAUAACGAGCGGUUCUGAUAAGGCCGAUUAUGCGGCCCCUUGUGGCCGCCGUCAAUU
rnacentral:tRNA from 1 species